rnacentral:tRNA from 1 species
AAGGCUUUAGCUUAAUUAAAGUGUUUGUUUUGCAUACAGAAGAUGUGAGGUAGUAUCUUGCAAGUCUUA